AAGCCCUGCGCACAGGACGCGUGUUGGAAGUCGUGCGGAAACGCGUCGGGAAUCGCGGCUUCAGUCUGCGCGCGGCACUCGCUCGAGAAGCGUCGCGUUCCUCCUCCCCGGGACCGGGUCUCUAUUCUUCUGGCCGCGAUUACGAUUAAUUGAUGACAAACUUGUCCUGGGGAAUUCUUCAUCGGCUGGAAGUCUGAAAAAUUGAAAGGACAGCAUCAGCAGAAUUCUUCCAGUGAUAUUGUGAAAAGGGAUAAUUAAAUUAAUAUACCUGUUUAAUUAGACCGUUAAUAGAGAGAUUCUUCUUUUGCAAAAGUUGGAGGAGUCCCUGAAGAAUUCCAGAGGGACAGGAAGUGGAAGAGGAAGCCGAUGGUCACCGGUUGGUCGAGGCUCGAUUCGCUGAAUCAGAGGGAACAACGGCUCGGAUAGUCGUGAUAAAUGGAAGACGUGGCUCGUCGUUGCUCGUUUAUCCCUAAUUGCGAGACUACCAUGCUCGUCGUGCAAUUGGACCCUUUGUUCCAGCUAUGCGUGCCGGACGAUGAUUCGCUUUCGUCCAUGGAAUCUUGAUUUUCGCGUGUCUCCUCCACACUGUUCGCAAUUGUGCGCUUAUGGGAUACAAUAUACCCUUCUAAUGGCAUAAACAUUACCCGAAAUCUCAACCUUCUCUUUGCUAUAACGAGAAUAAUCGAGCCUGAACAUUACUGGAUAAAUAGUGCUUCAAAUUCAGUGUAAUUGAACUGUAGUAUCAUUUUUGUUCCUUAAAACUCAUAAUUUGUGGUAAAUGAAGUGAUUAGGAUCCAGCAAUAUUUAACUCCCAUGUGUAAAUUUGUACUUAAAUUAAUUGGAUUCCAAUACAGAAACAGUGAAAUAUCAAAUUAAACUGAAACGAUAUAAUCGGCUAUUAUUGGAUUUCAACGUGAUUUGUAAUUACCAUGUUUAUAUUUAAUCGAGUUCCAAGGAAGCAAGCAGUGUCCAGCCUGAUUUAUGAUGGUCCCCGAUAUACUGCCCACCAUGUGAUUUAUGAUAGUAAUGUUGUCCAUAAUUGAAUGCUACAGGUCCUCCAUAUGAAUAACAACAGCAUAAAUAUUGUCUGCAACAUUAACUGGGAACUUAAUGAAUUGAAUCCUCAUCGAUCCCAAUAUGAUCAGUGAUAAUACAAACUUCUUCAACAACCAUUCCCACACCUCCCCACAGCAUGUGCUCUGUAGCCAACAUAAAAGAUGAGCGUCUGUUCUCUAAUCACUUAAAGCUGUCCAUCGUACGGUUCAUCAGUCAGCUAUAAAAGUUGAUGGAACUCUGUUGAGUCGGCUGAAGGUGUGCAUUCCAGUGAUCGAGGGAUCAGUAAUGUGGCUGAUAACAGGCAUGAAAGAGCGGCUGGAUCCUCCUGAAAGAUUGAUCAGAGAACAUGAUAAUGCUGGUGAGCUCGACGUGAGAGGAGCUUGAAGAGGGACGCGCAAGGAAACGCGAGAAUGAAAGAAUCGUGUCAAGAUCGGGCAUCGUGCGAGGGGGAGGCAUGAAAUAGCGGACGAGGGUGUUCCAGUGGGUCGAGAAGGGGCUUUUCACCGAGCGACCGGAAGAAAGGGAAGGGCGACAUGGAGAAAUACGGGGUGGAACUCCCGAAACACGAGUGGAGCCAUAGGCUCAGUCUUCGUGCCAGUCGAAGAAGUCAUCAGGGCGAAGUGGCGGCUAGGUCCGUCGGCGGACCAGCGAGAAGCACCAGGAGGUGGGCCAGUUUGAGGCAGCACGUGAGCAGCAACGAUGGCGGCAAGCCUAAGGUCGAGCUACUGUUGGAUCCUCCGGGUUCCAAGUCGUCGACACCGUCUUCGCAGCCUCACACACCGAACACACCUAAGACGCCUCACACACCCCUGAGGAAGUCCAACUGGGAGGUGAUUGAGCACUUCACUGGUGCACCGCGUCCCUCCAUCAUCACGAUGAACCGAGGAUCGGAAAUCGGCGUUGGGCUAACCGGGAACAGCGUAGAGGCGACGCAGGAGGUGAACGUGAACACGCCUACCACUCAACCGGCCAGGAAAUGUGCCCUCUGUCGGUUUCUGAAAUCGUUGUGCGCCUCCCAUCGGUUCAAGAACUUGCAGGUGGAGAUGCUGUACCAACGCUACUUCCUGAGGAUGAAUCAGAGUAACACGACCCACGUGCUCGGCCUACUGGCAGGGCUGGCUCUGGCUCUAGGUCUGCUUUUAAUUCUGAGAAUCCUUCUGGAGGACAACCAACAGUUUUUCGUCACUCUUGAAAGACCUGAGAACCUGUCCUUGGCGGUCACCCUGCUCAUCUGCAUCAUGGUUUAUGCUGCAUUGGUAGCAGCCAUAUCAAGGCCAGGUAUGAAUGAGAUCUGGUUAGCUGGGGUCAGUGGGAUCGUCCUGGUGACGUUGUUAGCCCUUCAACUGGCCCUCAACAUCCACCUGGCCCUUGGAUCAAAGGAGCACCGAAGCGGAGGCCCCCUAGCUGCAGCCUGGGCUGUUUGUUUCUUCAUCUACAUGGCGUAUGCACUACUGCCCAUUCGCCUGCGACACGCUUGCAUCGCUGGCUUCAUCUUCUCAUUGGCGCACCUGAUCGGCGCUUUCGCUCUCUACCCUUCCCACUAUCCAGCUAUGAUGGAGCACUUGCUGAGCUCCAUCGUUGUGGUGGGUGGGACGAACAUGGCCGGUGUAUUAACGCACCAUCCUCGGGAAUUGGCGCAAAGGCAGGCGUUCCUCGAGACUAGACAAUGCGUCGAGGCGCGUCUAACCACACAGCGAGAAAACCAGCAACAGGAACGGCUCCUAUUGAGCGUGCUACCCAGACACGUAGCCAUGGAGAUGAAAGCCGACAUUGCUGGCAAGCCGAAGGAUACUAUGUUUCACAAGAUUUACAUUCAGAGACACGAGAAUGUCAGCAUCCUGUUCGCGGAUAUCUGCGGAUUCACCUCGCUGUCGGACCAGUGCACCGCCGAGGAGGUCGUCAGACUGUUGAACAAAUUGUUUGCUUGCUUCGAUACUCUGGCGGGUGAACAUCAUUGCCUGAGAAUCAAGCUGCUCGGGGAUUGCUAUUAUUGCGUCUCCGGGCUUCCAGAACCGAGACCCGAUCACGCCCGAUGCUGCGUGGAAAUGGGAUUGGACAUGAUCAGCGCAAUUACGCUUUAUCGAGAGGUGGGUGCCGUGAACGUGAACAUGAGAGUGGGGAUCCACACAGGCAGGGUUCAUUGCGGUGUCCUCGGUCUGAGGAAGUGGCAAUUCGACGUUUGGAGCAACGACGUCACCCUGGCCAACUACAUGGAGAGCGGCGGAAUACCAGGACGAGUCCACAUCACGAAGGAGACCCUGGACUGCCUCGGCGGUUACUACGAGGUCGAGGAGGGUCAAGGAGGGGAAAGAAACGCGUACCUGAAGGAGCACAAUAUCAAAACGUACCUGAUCAUCCCCGGGGACACGUACAAGGGUAACAUACCCUCUUCCGGGUUGAGGAAAGGUUUACCAGCGAACGGGAAUGUGUCGAAAGAGAUGAGGGUGAUGGGUCACGGUUCGCAGCGUGGAAAACAAGCCAAAUUGGGCUUUGGAGAGACGGCAGAGAGUAAAAAAGAUCCUGAAGACGAGGUGAACGAGUACCUGAUGAGAGCAAUCGACGCCAGGAGCAUAGAUCGAUUGAGGGCCGAAUAUUGUACACCUUUUAUUUUAACAUUUCGACGACCCGACGUCGAGGAAAAGUACUCGAGGGAAAGAGAUCGAAUGCUGUCCGCAUAUUUCGUGUGCUCUGGUUUCGUCUAUACGGUGGUCGUGAUUGCUAUAGCAAUCACUCUGUACGGGAGCGUAUACUUCUACACGUGCGUGGGAGUGAGUAUACUGUUGAUCGCCUCGAUCAAUGGGAUUCUCUUGGCGGAAAAGAACGAGAGGGUGCCACGAUGCCUUCGAAACUUCUCCGUGCACGUGUUCGAGAACCGUGGGGUCGCGCAAGCCCUGGCCACGUGUGUCGUCUUCCUCACCUUCGUCACGGCUCUCUCACCGCUGCUGACGCUCGAGGGUGGACGCGUUUGCAGCAACGGCACAUCGACGUUCCUCGAAUGGCCGGAUAAUUCCAGCGUCACCUUCCAGACCAUCGAUACGCCUGUCGAUGUCUGCUACUAUACCGUCUUCGCUGAUCUGUUCCCUGUGCUCGUGAUGCUGGUCAUGAUCACCUGUGCUGUCUAUCAAAUCCUGACAUCGGUGUUCAAAGUAGCUAUACUGAGUUUGGUGGUGGCCACCUACUUCGCCAUUAGCAUCCACGAGGCUUUGAACGAGAAGGACGUCGAACUAACUGGACGGUGGUUGGCAGGUGUUCUGGUGGUUUUCUUCAUGGCUUGCCUGGUCGCACACUCUCAACACACUGAGGCUACUUACAGACUGGACUUUCUGUGGAAGCUUCAAGCGACGGAGGAGAAGGAGGAAAUGGAGCACCUGAAGGCUUACAACCAGAAGCUCCUGGCGAACAUUCUCCCAGAACACGUGGCUGCUCACUUCCUCUCCACAGUGAACUCUGAUGAGCUGUACCACGAACAGUGCGACUUCGUUUGCAUAAUGUUCGCAUCGAUACCGAACUUUUCCGAGUUCUACGUGGAACUGGAAGCGAACAACGAGGGAGUCGAGUGUCUCAGGCUUUUAAACGAGAUCAUAGCCGACUUUGACGAGCUCCUCGCCGAGGAGCGGUUCAAAUACAUAGAGAAAAUCAAAAGCACCGGCGCCACGUACAUGGCCGCUUCCGGACUGACGAGGAGCGCCUGCGACAUGAAAGAUUACAAGCAUGUGACCGCGAUGGCGGAAUACGCGAUCAGGAUACGGGAACAGCUGGCCUCCGUUAAUGAACACAGCUUUAACAACUUCCGGUUGCGUGUGGGCAUCAAUAUUGGACCGGUCGUUGCCGGGGUGAUAGGCGCCCGAAAGCCGCAGUACGAUAUUUGGGGUAACGCGGUAAACGUGGCCUCGAGAAUGGAGUCGACCGGUGUCUUGGACGGGAUUCAGGUCACCCAGGAAGUCCGUGAUAUCCUGAUCGGUAAAGGAUAUCCUCUAACCUGUCGUGGCAGCAUUCAGGUGAAAGGCAAGGGCAGCAUGGUCACCUAUUUCCUCGAUGGACCUCGGAAUUCAACCGCCAACAACGAACUCAAGAUGAACAACGAUAACAAUGUGUGAACAAUUGCUCCUGGAACAAGCUAGAAAACGUUGAAAGUAAUCAAUUAAGUGAUCAAUGAAGUGUUUAAUGAAAAUUUAUAAAAUUCAACAUAGAGAUAUUGAAUGAUUGCUGAUGCAGUCUUUGAAAGACUUGGGUUACAUUUAUGUAGAAUGAAUUCCAUUUUUCCUCUUUCUACAGUUCUAUUAUUCUUCAGAUGAAUAUUGAACAAAAUGGAGAAUUAAACGCGAGAAACUGAAAUACUUUCUUCCACGUAUCUUAUCCAGAGUCACAGGAUACCUGUACUUAAAUCAUGAGGAAUGAUUUUCCGUGUGGUUUCUAUAGGGAGAUUUGCAUUUGCCGUGUCCACGGUUCUUCUAGUCAAUAAAAGGGAAAUAAAGGGCGGCAAGGGAAGCUCGAUACAACGAAACCGUGGCUGAAUUCUUCGUACGAGGGAUUCCUUUGAGAAAAGGAAACGGGACCACGGUGUGUUUUCGCGGAACGAAAGCAAAGGGAAUUUGAAAUUUUCGCGCGGUUGGAACGAGAAGCAAAGACUCGACUCUAUUUUUACAUUUCUCUCUCUGAAUCCGUCGACAGAAAGAUGGAUCUCGUAUUCUUUCGAUAUUCUAAGCAACAAUAAUUUAUUUAGGUUAAUUAGUGAUGUGCGGCCGAACUAUUCGGGUCGGUUCGGAAAACAUCGGGCGGCCGAUACAUACGUGCUGUCGGGUAGCGCGACUGUUUCGGGUCAGGUCGGAUAAAGUCGGGCAGAUUCGGACGAGCUCCCGCGAGCCGCGGUCCGCGGCCUGAUUCUUAUGUACUUGUUAAUCAGUGUUGGCAAUUCGAAUAUUUCCGAAUCCGUAGGUUGGCAUCAAAAUUUCUGUAGAAUUCCGGAGAUCUUGUUUUUAAAAGUCCGUAGAUCUACGGACUUUUCAAAUAGAAUAAAAACUUUGUUUUUGGGAGGACCAUUUUCAGCAAUAGAUACAUCAUUUUCAUUAUCAGAAUCACUGGUGUUCAUUUUAAAUAUUUUCUUUUUUGCUAAAUUUUUUCUCACGAAUUUAAAAUACCACAGCGAAUAAAAUGUAAAAAUGGCGUAUUAAAAAAUGGCUUAGCUGUUUGUGGAUCCGCCACAAGGUGAGAAGAAUAAUUACUAACAAUAAUAUAAUAGAUAUUUUCUGUUUUUAAAUUAUUUUCAAUAGGACCACAAGUUAUAAACUCAAAAAUUUGUACUAAAAAUAAUUACCUAUAAUUCAUUAUAAUAAAUAAUAAUUAAUUGCGAUAAUAAGUUAGUUUUGUACUCUAAAGUAUCCAAAAAAGUAAAUGAAUUUUCAUAGGAACUGAAUUCCGUAGAUUUUAACUAAAAUUCCGUAGAUCCGUAGAUGAUAAAAAAAUUCCGUAGAUCUACGGAAAAUUCCGAAGAAUUGGCAACACUGUUGUUAAUACUUGCAAUAAGCAUGCGCAAAAUCUGUUUUAUGUAGAAAAAUAAUACUUGCAACGAAUUUAUUUGAAAUGAAUUUCAUUCAAAUAGAUUUAGAACCGCGGCCCGCGGGAGCUCGUCCGAGUCUGCCCGACUUUAUCCGACCUGACCCGAAGUAGUCGCGGUACCCGACUGCGCGCAUGUAUCGGACAGCCGCCCGAGCGCGCCCGAAUUUUUCCGAGCCCGCCCGAGCCCGUAAUAUCUGGUACCCGCACAUCCCUAACGUUAAAGAAAAAUAUUUGUCCGCGCACAGGAUGUACGAGAAUGAAUACCGAUAACGUAAACGUAUUACUACGUUCCUUCGCAUAGUAUCGUGAUGAAUGUAACAAUUAGUCAAUUCAACUGGAACCUUGGCUUAUAGAGCGAGACUACAAUUAAAUGUUCAUAUUUUGAUGUUGCUGGCAGGUCCAGCUGUUAAUAGAUGUUAAUUCUACGUAAAAGACCAUGGGCCAUCAAUGAGAAUCAAAAUGAUAAUAUUACUAGAUCCUUUGAUCCUUCGUUAACCUAAUCAUAAUUGAAAAAUUAUCGUUGCUUUGUUGAGGUAUAUAGUUGCAAGCUCUAUUUUAUUGCCAUCAGCUCCCAGUUUUAGAACAUUCCACCAAUUUGCUGUGAUUAAUUCCCUGUUUUUCAUCCAUAAAACAAUCUCUUAUUAAACUGUAUUAAACGCACAAUUUUCUUUCUUGCGAAGAGAUCAAAGUGUCUGUAAAGGAAAGAAACAGAAAUCUUUCAGAACAUCAUAUCAAAAGUUAAAAUGUAUAGUCUUAUCAGAGCCUAAGGAUGUGUUAGCUUUUUAGGGAUUAUUCAAACAGGAAUUCAAAGGCUAUUAUUGGCCAGUGUUGUAGAAAUCCUUUGCCAACUUCUGUUUAACUUCUGGAAAAGAGAAGUUCUUUUUCUUAAAUGUUUCUGCAAUACUCGUCUAUAAUGGCAGAAUAAAACGGAGUCAAUUGGUGAGAAAGCAAGAAGGAGAGAAAUAUUUUGCCAACGAUCUAGUUACUCUAUCUCCAUCCUUCGUGUAAUCUCGAUGGCCUAAAUUGAACUUUAAGUCUCUACCGAACCAUGUCUGUACACCAUAGAAUAUAUUCGCGCGAUGUGAUUUGUCAGGAAUAUAAUGUGAAAUAAAUUUUUAAGAAAAGAAACGAACAAUCAAUCCACCUCCUUACAUUCUAAUUUCAAAUUCAAACGAGCUCCCUAACUUUGCGUCAUAUUCCAUCAGUGUUCACCUACCAUUCCUCUUCCCUGCUGUAUUUUUAGCAGUUCAGAGUUGGCACUGGUGUGUUACUAGCGCGGUCGAUAACAGUUCUCUGGUAAAAGAAUGGAAAAGCACGUGGUACGCCGUUUCUGCUAGCAUUCUCUUUCAGUUCACCGACUGUACGACAUGGUUUCAAGAGAUUCUGAUCAAUACAUCCACGGAACAUCGACUUGUAACAGAAAAACUCUUCCUUCUAAUGGCUAACAAUAGGUGAAAGGAAAGCCGAUCGUUUCGCGUCAUUUCUGCACAUUUUUCACGAUCUCAGCAGUCGUGAAAUCUUGAUGAGGAAUCAAAAGUGCAAGUAGUAUUAAACGCAGGCUUAAGUAUCGCACGCAACGAUGAUCACGUGAAACGAUCCAUCCAGAGUGAUCUCUUAGUAAUCACAAAACAAACAGC